CCCUGUAUCGAAAGUGAUCAUGGCGUCGCUGUGGCCAGGUCAUUGAUAGUACAGGAACACGAACGCUGAGACUUUUCCCGUGUCUGAAGGACUGUGGCUUCCUCUCAGACCCUGAAGCUCUCAGACA